rnacentral:rRNA from 1 species
GGGGGAAACCCUGACGCAGCAACGCCGCGUGGGUGAUGAAGGCCUUCGGGUCGUAAAGCCCUGUCAGGUGGGAAGAAACACAUCGGCGCUAACAUCACCGAUGCUUGACGGUACCACCGGAGGAAGCACCGGCUAACUCCGUGCCAGCAGCCGCGGUAAUACGGAGGGUGCAAGCGUUGUUCGGAAUUAUUGGGCGUAAAGCGCGUGUAGGCGGUCAGGCAAGUCAGAUGUGAAAGCCCUCGGCUUAACCGGGGAAGGGCAUUUGAAACUGCUUGGCUGGAGUACGGGAGAGGAGAGUGGAAUUCCCGGUGUAGAGGUGAAAUUCGUAGAUAUCGGGAGGAACACCAGUGGCGAAAGCGGCUCUCUGGCCCAAUACUGACGCUGAGACGCGAAAGCGUGGGGAGCAAACAGGAUUAGAUACCCUGGUAGUCCACGCCGUAAACGAUGAGCACUAGGUGUAGGAGGUAUUGACCCCUUCUGUGCCGCAGCUAACGCAUUAAGUGCUCCGCCU